CCUACGGGUGGCAGCAGUGGGGAAUAUUGCACAAUGGAGGAAACUCUGAUGCGGCAAUGCCGCGUGAGUGAUGACGGCUUUCGGGUUGUAAAGCUCUUUCUUCAGGGACGAUAACGCCGAUACGUGAGGAUGAAGCCACGGCUAACUACGAGCCAGCAGCCGCGGUAAUACGUAGGUGGCGAGCGUUGUCCGGAUUUACUGGGCGUAAAGGGAGCGUAGGCGGACUUUUAAGUGAGAUGUGAAAUACUUGGGCUCAACUUGAGUGCUGCAUUUCAAACUGGAAGUCUAGAGUGCAGUAGAGGAGAAUGGAAUGCCUAGUGUAGCGGUGAAAUGCGUAGAGAUCAGGAAGAACACCAGUGGCGAAGGCGAUUCUCUGGACUGUAACUGACGCUGAGGCUCGAAAGCGUGGGGAGCAAACAGGAUUAGAUACCCCUGUAGUC
rnacentral:rRNA from 1 species